rnacentral:lncRNA from 1 species
AGAGCCCCGUGGGCUGGAACGCGCCGGAAUCUGAGGUGUGAGUAGAGCCUGGGGGAGAGUGGAUCCAGGUGAAGGGGGCAGAGGACUGGGAGUUUUCAUCCUCUUGAAUAAGAACUCGACAACAGAGUGGGAACUUUCUGUCUUGUGAUCCAUUGCCUGGCUUUCUGUAUUUGUCUGAAUGCUUUCACGGGAGUGUGUUGCACUGGAGCACAGAGGACACUCGAUCGUGCGGCGCGCAGGGCGGGGGGCCGCCGCUGCCUCCCCGCGGGAUGGCUGGCACUGUGCUCGGAGUCGGUGCGGGCGUGUUCAUCUUAGCCCUGCUCUGGGUGGCAGUGCUGCUGCUGUGUGUGCUGCUGUCCAGAGCCUCCGGGGCGGCGAGUUCUGUUGCUUUUCCCGCGAGCUGGUGAAUUCCCAGCCCCAGAAGUGGAAGUUAAGAUUGUGGAUGACUUUUUCAUUGGCCGCUAUGUCCUGCUGGCUUUCCUUAGUGCCAUCUUCCUUGGAGGCCUCUUCUUGGUUUUAAUCCAUUAUGUUCUGGAGCCGAUCUAUGCCAAACCACUGCACUCCUACUGACCACUCUUCAGGAAAACGAAAACCUGUUCUCUCCUUCAUUGUGAUGACAUUGAUGAGCAGGAAGGCACUAUUCAGAGCCUUGUUUUGACAGCCCUCAUGCCUUAAGGUUAGAGGAGUAUCUGUCCAUCACUAAGACAAAUCUCUGGAGUCCUGGCUUCCAGAAA